rnacentral:rRNA from 1 species
UACGAAGGUGGCAAGCGUUACUCGGAAUUACUAGGCGUAAAGGGCAGGUAGGUGGUUCGGUAAGUCUGUUGUGUAAGCUCCCGGCUUAACUGGGAGAGGUCAACGGAAACUACCGGACUUGAGUAUAGGAGAGGUUACUGGAAUUCCCGGUGUAGAGGUGAAAUUCGUAGAUAUCGGGAGGAACACCGGUGGCGAAGGCGGCGACCUGGGUAGAUACUGACGCUGAGGUGCGAAAGCGUGGGGAGCAAACAGG